ACAAGCACAACCAGAAAGUAUAGAAGAACGACCAGAGGCCGAAUCCAUCUCCUCCAGUUGCCACAAGUACAAGGCAUAUUUUUAAUGGCUCUACACACUCUUGGAUUACAUCCUAUCUGGCAGGCUGCUCCUACCAGGUGGUGACAAGCAUCUCGGCGUGCCUGGCAGAUAUCUCAGCUUGGAUGUCGGCCCACCACUUCAAGCUCAACCUAGACAUGACGGAGAUCUU